rnacentral:tRNA from 1 species
GCUACGGACUUAAAAUCCGUCRACUUUAGAAAUCGUGAGGGUUCAAGUCCC